rnacentral:rRNA from 1 species
AGAGUUUGAUCAUGGCUCAGAACAAACGCUGGCGGCGUGCCUAAUACAUGCAAGUCAACGGGGAAAGUAGCAAUACGAGUACUAGUGGCGCACGGGUGAGGAAUACAUGGGUAAUCUGCCCUCGAGCUCGGGAUAACCAGUCGAAAGACUGGCUAAUACCGGAUAUGACCACAAGAUCUGAGGAUCAAGGGGUAAAAGGUUUUUCGCUUGAGGAUGAGCCCAUGUGGGAUUAGCUAGUUGGUGUAGGUAACGGCUCACCAAGGCGACGAUCCCUAACUGGUCUUAGAGGAUGAUCAGUCACACUGGAACUGAGACACGGUCCAGACUCCUACGGGAGGCAGCAGUAGGGAAUAUUGCACAAUGGAGGAAACUCUGAUGCAGCGACGCCGCGUGAGUGAUGAAGGCCUUCGGGUCGUAAAGCUCUGUCGUAUGGGACUAACAAAAUGAAGGUACCAUGCAAGAAAGGAUCGGCUAACUUCGUG